AGAGUUUGAUCAUGGCUCAGAAUAAACGUUGGCGGCGUGCUUAACACAUGCAAGUCGAGCGAGAAAGUUCCUUCGGGAACGAGUAGAGCGGCGGACGGGUGAGUAACGCGUGAGAAUCUGCCCUUUAGUGAAGAAUACCUUCGAGAAAUCGAAGAUAAUACUGCAUACGUCCCUUCGGGGAGAAAGAUGGCCUCUUGCUGUCGCUAAAGGAUGAGCUUGCGUACUAUUAGCUAGUUGGUGAGGUAAUGGCUUACCAAGGCGAUGACGGUUAGCCGGCCUGAGAGGGUGUACGGCCACACUGGAACUUAGACACGGUCCAGACUCCUACGGGAGGCAGCAGUGAGGAAUAUUGCGCAAUGGGCGAAAGCCUGACGCAGCGACGCCGCGUGGAGGAUGACGGUCUUAGGAUUGUAAACUCCUGUUAAGCGGGAAGAAAAGUCUGUAUCUAAUAAAUACGGAAAAUGACGGUACCGCUAGAGAAAGAC
rnacentral:rRNA from 1 species